rnacentral:rRNA from 1 species
CCAAAUUAGUGAAAAAGUGCAAUAGAGGGAUGGCUAGGGCAUUAAGCAAGGGGACAAAUCAAGGGGGUUAGGAGGUAAGUAGACUAAUCCCAGCUGGUAAAAGCCGGCUCGUUCGGGUUGAAAUAUAAACGGGCGAGGGGACCCGAGCUUCUGGGAAUUGAAACAUCUUAGUACCAGAAGGGAUAAAUCAAGCGAGAUGCCGUGAGUAGUGGCGAGCGAAAGCGGAGCAAGGUGGAAAAGUAAGUUAAACCGCAGAGGGUAACAGGCCCGUGAUUUACUUAGUAACCUACGUUUAGUCAUUAGACCCGCAUAUGCGGGAAGUAGAAUAAUUUGAAGAAGGGUGAACCACACAUCCAACAUCGCGAAAAGUAAUGCACCGAGAGAGGGAGUACCGUGAGGGAAGGCUGAAAGAAUGGUGAAAACGGAAAUUUAUUGCACAUUAGAGCAGAUGUAGUCAUUGUACCUUUUGUAUAAUGGGUUCGCGAGUAAAAUAUUUGGCAAACUUAAGUCGAUGGACGGAGGUGUAGCGAAAGCGAGCCAGGCGAGGCGCGAGUCAAAUACGACCCGAAACCAAGUGAUCUAAUCAUGGGCAGUCUGAAACUUGUCGCAAGGCAAGACGGAGGGACGCACCGGUGGUUGUGGCAAAAAUCUCGGAAGACCUGUGGUAAGUGGUGAAAGGCCAAUCGAACUUGGCGAUAUCUGGUUUUCGACGAAAGCUAUUUAAGUAGUGUGUUGCUGUAUAAGAUAAAUUACCCCCGCAUGGUAGGGCACUGAUCGGGCCCAGGGCAGAUAUUUGCUUUGUGUUCAGUCAAACCACGAAAGCACCACAAGCGACCAACCACCAACCUGCGGUUGGUGGUAUCUAAGUACUUAUGUGGGCAAAAUGUGCGGGGGGAAAGAGUGACAAUCAGACAGUUGGUGCGAAGGUCGACUGUCGAGAGGGGAACAGCCCAGAUCAGAAGUAAAGGGCACGAAGUAUGGGUUGAGUAUGUAAGGAAGAAGAAGGAGAGACAAUGGGAAAGUAGGCUUGGAACCAGCUAUCUUUGAAAGAUUACGUAGAAGUUCACCUGAAUGACUAACGGACACCGAAAAUAUAGGUGGUUAAACCCAACGGGACACAACCCGCAUUUGUGGGUUGUGUUUCACCCCGAAACUCUGAAGAGGAGAGAAAUCAACCAAGGUAGUCGAACGGACUGUAUUGAUAAUUAUGGCGAGAGCCGGAAUCAGUCGUGAUGAUGCGAAUAUGAGUAACGCUUCAGUGUGUGACGAGGGCAAAUAUGUAAAUAACGAUUUGUUAAAGAAAUCCCACCGCAGUGGGAUUCAAGCCAUUGAACACAGCCCAAGGAUUCCGAUUUGAUGAGAAUCAUAAUCGGGUGGGACGGCCCCUAAGAUAUAAUCGAGGGGUACCUCUGUAAUAAUAACGGGGGCGAACCUGGAGCCACAUAAGAAACAACCAAUCAUCGAUUGGGCGUGGGCCAGGGGGCGACUGUACCAACCUAACACAAGUGGGCAAAAGUGUGGGGGGAAUAUAUUUUAAGGAACUCGGCCAAAUGCUCCAGUAAGUUCGCGAGAAGGGAGAUAGAUACAUUAAGAUAAGAGGGGGCGCCGACUGUUUACCAAAAACUUAGCCAUCAGCAAAGGGCCGAGGGCCUGAAGUAAUGGUGUGUGAUGCCUGCCCAGUGGUUGGAUCGGAACUCGAAUGAUGAAAGUUAUUUGAAUAAGGACAACUCAACGGCCGCGGUAUCUCUGACCGUGAUAAUGUAGCAUAGUAACUAGCCAAUUAAUUGUUGGCACGUAUGAAAGGCUUCACGAGUGUCCCGCUGUCUCGAGAUAUAACCCAGUGAAAUUGAAUUUGUAGUGAAGAUGCUACAUACAAGUUGUAAGACGAGUAGACCCUAUUGAGCUUUACUGGACGUUUGCAUUAAACCGAAACAGGACCGAGCAGCAAAGCCCAAUAUCUGGAGGGAGCGUGGCAUGGGUGCAAGAGUGACAAAAAAAAAUAGGAUACGCACACCGCCUUGGCGGUGUGUAUCGGUUGGAUGAAUAUAUGAAAACCGACCAAUUGCAUUCAAGAGGCACACUCGGGAUGGAGCGGUACAAAGUGUGAGUGAGACAGUUUGACUGGGAGGGUCGCCUUCAAGAGAGUAUCGAAGGUGAGCAGAUGGUGUGGAGGGGGGGCCCAUAAAUAGAAAAAGACCAAUCAAAGAUUGGUUGGGGACAAACUGCGUACAGCGGAAUUUGUAAAAUUCCGGUGCCAAUCGAAGAUGGGCACAUACGACAGGAUGGACUCAGGGGCCCUCGGAGUUAAUAGAAUUGAGCCAGACAGUGAGGAGGACGUACCGAACUGACACCAUAGGAGGUGGGCUAUAGUGACCCGUUGGUACAGAGUGGAUUGGCCAACGAACAACGAAUAAAAGUUACCAUAGGGAUAACAGCGUAAUAUAGUUUUAGAGUUACUAUCGAAGACGAUGUUUGCGACCUCGAUGUUGAAUUGCGGUAACCUGGGGGUACAGCAGCUCCCAAGGGUUGGACUGUUCGUCCAUUAAAACCGUACAUGAUUUGAGUUCAGACCGGCGUGAGCUAGGUCGGUUUCUAUCUACAAUAUGUAAACACAGAGUGUAACCGCGCCCUCGUACAUAAGGAUCGGGUAUAAGCGGCCAUCCAAUGGUGUACCUGUUGGCAGUGGUCAGGGGAGCUUGCAGGGUAGCUACGAUGGGAAGGAUAAUCCCUGAAGGCAACUAAAGGGAAAAGCCAGGCACAAGGGUGUUCCGGCCAUUAUAAGAAUGAUGGUAGCUCCUACGUUUGAGACUAAGACGGCAUCGGGCCUAGGUGAAGCCGAAGGCUGCGAAAUAGGAGGAGACACUAAUUUUGG